rnacentral:rRNA from 1 species
UACGUAGGGUGCAAGCGUUGUCCGGAAUUAUUGGGCGUAAAGAGCUCGUAGGCGGUCUGUUGCGUCGGCUGUGAAAACCCGGGGCUCAACCCCGGGCCUGCAGCCGAUACGGGCAGACUAGAGUUCGGCAGGGGAGACUGGAAUUCCUGGUGUAGCGGUGAAAUGCGCAGAUAUCAGGAGGAACACCGGUGGCGAAGGCGGGUCUCUGGGCAACUACUGACGCUGAGGAGCGAAAGCGUGGGGAGCGAACAGG